rnacentral:rRNA from 1 species
UACGGAGGGAGCUAGCGUUGUUCGGAAUUACUGGGCGUAAAGCGCGCGUAGGCGGCUUUGUAAGUUAGAGGUGAAAGCCCGGAGCUCAACUCCGGAACUGCCUUUAAAAACUGCAUCGCUUGAAUCCAGGAGAGGUGAGUGGAAUUCCGAGUGUAGAGGUGAAAUUCGUAGAUAUUCGGAAGAACACCAGUGGCGAAGGACGGCUCACUGGAGCUGGUAUUGACGCUGAGGUGCGAAAAGCGUGGGGAGCAAACAGG